rnacentral:misc_RNA from 1 species
CUCAACAAAGUGCGUAAGAAGAAUCUCUCAAACGAAGCCAGCUUCCAUGUCGUUUCGUUUAUUUAUCUACAGCGCUCUAUUGUCGUUAUCUAAAGCCCAUUAUAUCUCUAAGUAAAUCCCCGCUUCCAUUCGCUGCUCUUUCAUAUUUGUUUAAAUUUUUCACGAAAUUAAAAACACGAGUAUACCUAUCUGGGAAGCUUCCCUCUACCACCAUCCACCUACCUACGUUUCAACGUAACGACGUAAUUAGCUGCAGGUAGAAAUCGAAGAGCGUUACAAAUCGUGGA